GAUUCGCGCACGAGUGUGGAGGAGGCUUUACAGUCAGUCUCGGCAAAAAAAGUACUGAGGUUGACUGAAGUAGCAUAUAAAAUACGAAAGUUUCCGAGAAAAUACCAUUAUACUCUACGUCUGGUAAACAGUAUCUUGGUCAAAAUCUCGCAUUUGUUAGUUAUUAUACUAACACAUCCCUUAUAGCUCUUUUGAAAGUAGCUGUUCAUGAUCCUGCGAAACUGGAAGUAGGAUUUGUCGCUGUACUGUAAAUAUUUUCUGUAAAACUUUUUACAGUACAUAUUGUGCUACUUUACCGCCCUGGUGCGGUAACUAGCACUAUACGUACGUAUAUCGAAAGUUUAACGGGCCAUAUGUACAGUAAAACGUUGUACAAUACACGUGCGAAAAGGUAAUUAGCAACUCAUGUAUUCAAAUGAUUUAUUAAAAAAUAUGGGUCACUAUAAAGUACAUUUACUAGCCUAUUCAGUUCAUUCGCGAUUUUCGCAUUUUUUGCUAGAUGCGAAUUUAAACGCCCUAUAAUACGUGGUUUAUACGCCCUAUAGGUGUAUUUGGAUCGUUCCGAAAAGUUAAAAAUCUCGGAUAAUUCCAAAAAUGGCCUAAUAUAAUGGAAUUAUGGGUGUUUUUCGAAAUUAACCGACGUUUUGAAGUAGCCGGAAUUACCCGAGCGCACAUUAUAGUAUGAAAAUGUGGUCGGGUAAAUUAAGAGACAAAGAUAUCUGAGGGCCUACCGCGAACCACGUUCGACGUGUUGCCUCUCUGUCGCACUUGUAAAUUCGUAGUUUCCAAAAAGCUGGAUAAGUUAAUUGAAAUUUCAGGAAAAUUACACAGGAAACAAAAGAAACUUAAUUUCGGAAAUGGAAAAUUUAGAUUCCCAAGCGAGUUUUCACAUUUAUAUUUCACAAUUUUAGCAAUGUACCGACGGCAAGGUGUAAGAUUGAGUGCAAAGGAUGUAGUAUGUUAAUUUAAUUUGCUUGGUAUUGUGCCAUUUAAAUAUAUUUGCAAAUGUAUACGACAUUAGUAACACAUAGUACGGAGGUACGACUACCAUGAGUUGACUUUUAACAUUUACGCUGCCGACUGUGUUGAACUCGAUCGCGGUCUCUCUCGAUCGCACUAAUACAUCAGUGCAAGCGAGAUAGACUGCGAUCGAGCGUAAACGUCGCAUGUCAACUUAUGCUAGCCGUAAAGUUAUUCUAACAACCGCUAUUUUAUUAUUAAAAUAUUUUACGUAAAUUAAAUGUAAUUGGAAAAUGCGUAAGAACGUAUAUUUAGAACGUGUAACCAGGGUUGUUAACUUAAUUAAUUCACUUAUAAAAAGUAGAUUGUGUGAAAAUGAAACGUAUCUUCUAAUUAUUAUUUUACUUUCCAGUAAAACUUUGUCUAGACGCAAUUAUCGUUAAUCCGUGAGAAAAUCUCUUAAAAAUACAGCUUAUAUCAUUGAAAACUAUUUUGUAACUCUUGAAACUCUUGUUAACUUACGGUUUAAAAUAUUUAUUAAAAGCCAAAUCUAAUGCCAAAUAUUUAAGAUUCCCCUACAUAUUUUCAUAAAUCAUAUUGUAGGAAAAUGUAGAUUUUUACAUCCAUAAAUAUCAUUACAAAAAAGGUACUCCUACAUAUCAUAAGACAUUUAAAAAGUUUUUAAUGAAAACACCUAGUAACAACAUUUUUGAUAAGCACAAAACAUUUUAAUAGAAAAAAGUCUCAAAGAACUUUUAAUAGAUGAAUAUUUAUUAAAUAAAAGUCCUACAGCACUAAUAAAAUAAAGUGCAAAUUUAUUAACAAUUUUAAAUCAUUCUUUUCACAAUAAUAUAAUUUUAGAUAUUAAUGUAUAUCUUCAAACAUCCUUCGAAAGUAUUUUUUUAUUAUAACGUGUUAUAAAUUCGUAAAAUUCAAUCCAUUAUGAAAUGGACUGAAUAACAACAGUUUGGUAUUUGCGUAAAAAAUAAAGUACUGUUUAUUUUUUAUUUGUAAAUAAUAAUGGAUUUAGAAUUAACAAGGAUAUGUAUUUAAUUGUUGUUUGUUGAUGUUAAUUGUCUGUUUUAAGUAUAAAAUAAUUAAUAAUUUAAUUUAUUGAUGUUUAGAAUGUCUAUUUACCAAUGAUGUAUUUAUUAGACGGUUUAAGACAGAUAUCCGGUAACGAACAGAAAAUAUGUUAUAAACAUGUAUUUUGUUACUGUAAUUUUUAAUCCAUUGUACAUCUGAGUGCGUAGCCAACAUGCCUAUCGUUUACGCUCCGUAACGAAAGAAACUCAACAGUCACUGACGGACUAAUAUGGAAUAGAGGUAUAGACUUAUAGAAACACAAAGAGAUUGUCACCUUGGUUAGGCACACUAGUUUCUCAACUAAAAAUCAUAAUUAUUUACGAAAUGCAAUAUUUUUAUACAAUAACAGUGGAAAUUUCAGCCAAUAGUGGAAGUUUGCAAAAAACUCCAUAACCACUGUUUGACCUAUAGUGUGGUAAAGAAGACACAGGCGUAUUCUGAUUUUAAUAACAGGUUGUGAAAUAGAUCUGAUUUAUUUAUGGAUCUAAUUCAUAACCUGUCAUUAAAAUGAAAAUAAGCUUCAUAGAUGGGCAAGUAGCGGAAAUUUUCCAAAAAGUUGAGUUUCUGGCUGGAAAUUUCAAAGGAAACUUUUAUUUUGUAAAUGAAAAAUUUCGAUUCCUAUGCAAAAAUAUGAGUAGCUUUUCAAAAUUGUUCCAAGUGGAAAUUUCGCAUAUUUGAAAACAUUUCGAUCACAUCAGUAAAGUCAUUCUGCACACCUCGUGGUGACUGCAUCAUCUAUAAAGCCCGCUCCACACUCGCGUGCGAUUCGCGGCACGAAGCCGCGAACGCGAGUGUGGAGCGGACUUAAUACCUGGGCCACAAACAUUCGUAGUAUUCGUACGAACAUUCGUAUAUCAAACGCGAACGUUUGCACGCAUAUAGUGAUGGCUGUCAGAUGGUCAUUCACGAAAUACGCGCGGGUUCGCAUAUUUUAGAGAAUGUCAAUGACAGUCAUUGCUUCUACGCUGUUGAUUGCUUAAUAUAAUAAAAAAUAUCACCACUCAUCAUUCUCUGACGAUUAUAGUGUUAACUAAUCGCCCUAGAUGGCGCUGCAUGCUCUAAAUAAUUAUCUGUGUUAAAAUAGACGUUGUGAUCAAAAAUAUAGUUAGCUUUAAGAAUGGAAUGAUAUGCACAAAACGCCAACAUAAUACCUAAGUAUAUAUUUAUAGAUAUGAUAAGGAUAAAUAAGAUUUAUAUAGCGUUGAGCUCAUGAAAGAUCCUUGGAUAGUAAUGUGAACAAAACAGGUGUAUAAAUCUCAGUUCACAUGGAAAGUUUAUAAUUUACAGUGUCCAGUGGCAAAUUCCGAUUUCAAAAUAUGAUUUUUAAACUACGAGUAGAACAUCUAAUCCACAACUAUUUCUUUUUAUAAAAAAAAAUAUGAAUGCGGAUUUCAUUCGCUGGACACCCUGUAGUUAUUAGUCUUAUUAUGCAGGCCACACACGUAACGAUAAAUCGUAGCGAUAAAACUGUGCAGUCCGAUUUGCGCAGUUUUAUCUGCCGUGUGUAUGACAAAUCGUUGUCGAUUAUCGUAACGAUUUGUCCUACACACGGUAGGUAAAACUGCGCAAACCGGACUGCACAGUUUAAUCGCUACGAUUUGAUAGUUACGUGUGUAGCCGGGGUUAAUUCACUUACUCUCAAUUUUUAACUCAAUCUAGAUUAUUUUAGAAAAGUUAUAAGUAUCUUAUAAGACUAAUUUUUGCCCUAUUCUGUUCUUACAAGAUAAAGAUCGAUUUAACUUUAUAUACACCGUGAAAUUUUAGUGGUUGUUUUCCCGCAACGAAAUGAUUCUGCUAUCGAUAUACAGUCGACGUGUAAUCUUUUUUUGUAAAUAAUGUUAAGAAAUGCCAGAUUUAUAAAUGUGUCGAACGAAACUCGAAAGUGACCUAACACCAGUAGUAGCACUGCAGUAGUACCUACCUAAUUGUUUUGAGUGAAUGAAACAAAAUAACCUAAAAAGAAGUUCCAAUUAUUUUUCCUUCACACAUUUUACGUGCAGUUAGUUUGCAGAUCCUUAAAAGUAAACAUAACAAGUUAAGAUCAAGCUUUUAAUGAUCAAAAACUUAAACAAACACUUAAACUUCCCGAUACCGCAAUAAUUGUUCGAACUGCAAUCCGCCUCAUUCAAUACACAAUCACCUCUGCCCUGUGCAUGUGCUGGCGUUUGAAACUGCCCGUGGUUAAGCAGUCGCUGUGUUGCGGCGACAAUUUUAUUGUUCGUCCGUGUGGAACUUGGGGGUUUAAAAUCCCCCGAAGACGCAACGACUGUAAAUGGUCCGGUUCCGCGUACAGUCGCCGGGCGGCGUGGGAGUCGUAGUUAGCCCUAGCGUACAGCUGCACCAUCGCGACGUACUCUAAAUUAGAAUAUUCGUAAUGUCGAUCCAUUUUACUAGAAAUAGCAGUGAUGACAUUGACAGGAUCUGUUAUCACAUUAGUUUAAUAAGCGAAGAGGAUGUAAUUAUUCGAUUUACCAAAGUUGACACAACGUAAUGGCAAUCAUCAAACUAAUAAGGUUUUAUUUCAACUGUGAAGGCACAGUCUAAGUAAAUUUUAAUUUCAGUUGUCAAACAGUAAAGCACUCUAGCCUGUUACACAGUUUAUAAAAGUAACAUGUGCAUGUUUAUUUGUUUAUCUGUUUACAAUAUCGGGAACUGUCGUCGACUUGCAGUUUUAGUGUGUUACUAUUGUUUUUCGCUUGUUCGAGUUUAGGUUAUUUUUUUGUAAUUUUUUUUUUUUGGAAUACAGUUUAUUUAUAAGUUUGUCUACCAUAAUUCGAAAGUACUACCGAUAGCAAAUCGCCCUGCCGCGGGAAAACAUCCACUAAAAUUUCACGGUGUAUAUACUCGUACUGUCCAAUCGCCAUCAGAUACAUCGGAGCGGCCAAGGCGCUCACAAAUAUCUGAACACGCCUCUGUUGUUAAGGCGUUAGAGUGCGUGUUGAGAUAUUUUUGAGCACCUCGGCCGCUCCGAUAUAUCUGAUGGCGACAGCGACUGUACAAUCCAAGGAUUUUUAAUUUGCUAAAAGCUAAGUAUGCUACUAAAUAUGUUAUGUACUGUAAUUUAAUGACAGGAAUUACUUAAGCACAGUCAGCUUUAAAAAUAUCUACCUAUCCAACACUCUGUAUCUAUAGGUGUUUAAAUAAAAGUAAACAAAUAACUUGUACAUUUUCGGGUAGUUAUAACAGUUAUUGGUUAACCAACCAAAUACAAAACCGCCUGGAUCUGUUACUGAACGAUCUGACUUUAACCUACAUUAUUCGAUCGUGUAACGAUUUCAUCUACCCUGAACUGGCUUUAGGAGUCAUUUGGGGGUAGAUUUUAUUUACUUUUCACCACACCAGCUCGGAAAGGCUUACUUUGCACUUCAAAAACUGAUAGCAAAGUUGCAUUUUAUUCACAUGUGAGACAAAGUAAUCAAAUGCAAAUUUUGAGUUGGUUUCUUAUGUUUGCUGGUAGAAAUUACUUUUAAAUGAUGAUUUUGGAUGAUAAAUAUUUAAUAACAUUCAUUUGGAUUUGAUUUGGUUUGAUUUUGUUUGAUAUUUUACAUUUAAUAUUUGGUUCAGGUUGGUGUGGUGAAAAAUGUUGUGUUUCACUCGGGGGCAAAUUUUGUUUAACCCUCGUGCUUUGAAACCCUCGCAACGCUCAAGAUUCCAUUUUUUGAUCCACUCGCUACGCUCGUGGUUCAAUUUUGGAAUCUUUCGCUUGCUCGAGUAUCAAUAUUAGCACGAGCGGUUAAACAACAACUUUGCCCCAAUGAUACUGACUAUAGACCCUUACUAGCACACUUAGAGUUGGGCCAAGCGAACUCUGCAUGCCAAAUAGCAUAUGCAAUGACAAAGUGUGGCAAAGUCAUCAUUAAUGUCAAAUUAUUAAGACACUGCCUCACCUUGCUAUUCAAGUCGUUGCAAAGUUAACUUAAAUGGACUCUACAAAACUCUUAGCAAAACUCGAGAUUGAUGUUUAUGGAGCCGACUGUACUUGUAAAAUAAAAUGUAUUUUGAUGUCAUUAUCUGAUGCCGAAUGUUGGAGUAAGUUGUAUUGUAACUGAAUUUAUUUAGACAUCUGGCUAAGUUGUUCCCAAGCCUGGCACUGCGUGUUGAAAUACGAUAUUUGUUAUAAAAUGUUUAUAUUUGUAAA